rnacentral:rRNA from 1 species
UACAGAGGUCCCAAGCGUUGUUCGGAUUCAUUGGGCGUAAAGGGUGCGUAGGCGGCGCGGUAAGUCGGGUGUGAAAUCUCGGAGCUUAACUCCGAAACUGCAUUCGAUACUGCCGUGCUUGAGGACUGGAGAGGAGACUGGAAUUUACGGUGUAGCGGUGAAAUGCGUAGAUAUCAUAAGGAAGACCAGUGGCGAAGGCGGGUCUCUGGACAGUUCCUGACGCUGAGGCACGAAGGCCAGGGGAGCAAAACAGG